UCCCUGGAGGACUGGUGGUUAGGCCACAGAGCUCUCACCGCUAUGGACCAGGUUCAAUUCCCAGCCAGGGAA
rnacentral:tRNA from 1 species